rnacentral:lncRNA from 1 species
GAUAACCCCUUAUCCCCUGUAUACCCAAACGCAAAUUUUUUAUCCGAAAAUAGUAAUUCUCAGAUACCUAAAAUAAUCUGGUAUAACUAUUGCCACCAUCACCUUUAUUUUUUAUAUAUAACUAUCUACUAUUUUUCUUAUUCCAUAUUAUCUAUCCAAACGUUAUUUUUUUUAUCUUCGGAAAUAACCCAAUUUUUACCCGAGCGCUAUUUUUCUUAUCCCUAUACUUGUACCUAUCUCUAUAAUAGCUAGUUCUUGUUUAUACCCGAACCAAACGCUACCUUAAAAAAUAGUAUUUUACAUA